rnacentral:rRNA from 1 species
UACAGAGGGUGCGAGCGUUAAUCGGAAUUACUGGGCGUAAAGCGUGCGUAGACGGUUAUUUAAGUCGGGUGUGAAAGCCCCGGGCUCAACCUGGGAAUUGAAUUCGAGACUGAAUAGCUAGGGUACGGUAGAGGGAAGUGGAAUUUCCGGUGUAGCGGUGAAAUGCGUAGAUAUCGGAAGGAACAUCAGUGGCGAAAGCGACUUCCUGGACCAGUACCGACGUUCAGGCACGAAAGCGUGGGGAGCAAACAGG